rnacentral:rRNA from 1 species
CGUAGGGCGCAAGCGUUGUCCGGAUUUAUUGGGCGUAAAGAGCUCGUAGGCGGUUUGUCGCGUCUUCCGUGAAAACUGGGGGCUUAACUUCCAGCUUGCGGUGGAUACGGGCUGACUGGAGUGCGGCAGGGGAGACUGGAAUUCCUGGUGUAGCGGUGAAAUGCGCAGAUAUCAGGAGGAACACCGGUGGCGAAGGCGGGUCUCUGGGCCGUUACUGACGCUGAGGAGCGAAAGCGUGGGGAGCGAACAGGAUUAGAUACCCUGGUAGUCCACGCUGUAAACGUUGGGCGCUAGGUGUGGGGGGCUUUCCACGUCCUCCGUGCCGUAGCUAACGCAUUAAGCGCCCCGCCUGGGGAGUACGGCCGCAAGGCUA